CUCGAUCUUCAAUCAGCUGCCCAUUGGCGACGCCCAUCUGGUCCCAUUCUAACCCCUGGAAACGCAGAUAAGCACCUCGGCUUUCAGCUGACUAAGCUGAUGAUCUGCAGCUGUGCCCUGCUGUCUCUGCCUGAGGCUCACUGAUAGAGCACCUGUGUGGCUGGGCCCAGACCCUUCUGUCUUUCACUCAAAGCCUCCGCUCUGUCGCUUGUGACCACACCAACAGCAGGAAGGGCUGAUAUGGCAGACAGACAGGACACCCAGGGUUCGGUGGUGUGGUCCUUUCACAAUAUCCUGAGCGUCUCUCCCCAGCUUGCGUUCGCUGUGUUUUAAAUUGAUCCAGUCACCCACGUGAGCUACGGCUCUUGCUUUGGUCUGAGAGCCCUUCGGCUUGGUGAUCUGUGGGCAGUGGAGUUGGACGCUAUCCUUGCAGCAAGACUCUUGUGGACAUCAUCCUGAAGAGGCUACGUGUCAGAGAGCAAAGAAACCUGGGCCAGUGUCCCGCCUCCGUCAUGUACUCGCUGUGAGAUGUACUGAGUCACCUAAACUCUGGGCCUCAGUUUCCUCAUUAGUAAAAUGAUGCCUGACCAUGCACUUAAAACAGCUGACGUUUAUUCAAUAACCCCAAGUACAAACAAGGAGUGUUUAUUGAGAACCUACUUCAUGCCAAGAGCUGUGCCAGGCUAGGUAUUCAGAGAUGAACAGACCCAGUCUUGCUCUCCAUCAUUCAGUCUGGUUAAAGAGAAGUCAGCAUGGUAUUCUGCUCCUCAAGGUAGAUUUUCCUCUGCUGUGUAUAUAACCAUCUGCCACACAGAAGAUACUCAGUAAAUGUUGGUGGGACACGUGAAUGAGCUUACCCAACAAAGGCGAGUCAAGAAGCCUUCUGGAUCUCAGUUUGUUCCUCUGCAAAAUGGGAUUUAGGUGUGCCUGCUUCAUAGGAUUUUUAGAGUGUGGUUACCUGAGCAAUGCCCCCCUCUUCCCCAAGAUUUCUGCACCCUUGGAACCUGUAACUGUGUGACCAUAUAUGGCAAAGGGGACUUUGCAGAUGUAAUUAAAUUUUGUAAUUUGAAUUAAAUUAAACCUUGAGAUGGGGAGAUUAUCUUGGAUUAUGCAGAUGGGUCUGGUGUAAUUGCCGGGAUCUUUGUAAGGAAGAGGCAGGGGAUCAGAGGGACAGAAGACGAUGUGGUCACAGAAGCAGGGAGAGACCAGGAGAUGUUGUGUGACUGGCCUUGAAGGUGCAAGAAGGGGCCACAGACCAAGGACUACAAGUUGGAAGAGGGAAGAAACAGAUUAUCCCAGAGCUUUCAUAAGGAAAACCCUCCCUAACCCCUCUGACACUUUGAUGUAGCCCUGCAAGAUUCAUUUUGAAUUUCUGACUUUCAGAGUUUUAAGAGAAAAAAAGGUUAUUUUAAGCCUCUCUAUGUGUAGUAAUUUGUUACAGCAGCAAUAGAAAACUAAUACAUGUAGGGAUCCAGUAAGAUCUUGUGUGGGAAGACUCUCAGAAAAACACAAAGCCAGGAGUCAUUAUUAGUUUAUGACAACUCACCCCUUGUUUAUUCCAUUUCUGUGCAGUGCUAUGUAAGUUUCAGCGACGAUAAUGAGGCGAGAUGCUUGAAUAAUAGCCUUACACCCCAAGGAAGGGUAUUUUUUCAUAGUUUAUAAUUGCCAUAGAGCUUGAAAAUCUUCCAGGUCUUAUAGUUCUUAAUUAUGCUCUCAUGCAUAUGUAUCAAUUACCCACAUGCUCCUACCUAGCUUGUUACUGCAAAGAUAUUUUAAAAUAUAUAUAUUUGGAACAGUUUCCUCUGCAUGCAUCUCUGUCUGAAAAUAUCCUAUGAAAUAUUUCACCUCCACUGCAAUAAUCCGUGCCUGUUGGGACAUGCUUGCCAGUCUUCCCCUGCACGAUGAAAUUAAACCUCCGCUGUUGUCUACGGCAGUCUCAAGCCUGCUCAUUCUACCUGGCAAUUCUCUCCUUAUAACUCUCAGUGGCUUCAUUGCAGAUUUGGUUCCCUGGGUUUGUGUCUGCUUUGGUGGAUAUGGUCUGCAAUCCAGGAAGGAUCAGGGAUUGCCCGACCCAGGAAGUUAUAUUGAAAUGGCAGUGGAGG
ensembl:lncRNA